CUCCCUUCAUGAUGGAAGAUUUGUUCAAUAAUCCCCAGGAUUGUAGCUAAACACUCCAGGACAUAUUUCUCUACUUGGCUACAGUCAAGGCCCUGGCUCAGACAUCUCCAUCUCCCCCAGAGCAAUUUGGAAGACCUGUAGCCUGGAGUUCCUGACUCCUGAGAUUUUUCACUUUUAAGCAUCGGAUAUGCGUAAAGUCUGACCUGCUCGCCAAUUUUAGGAUUAUAGGUGAAGAAACUAAAUCUUUCACUCGUUCUUCACCCCCACAAAGUACUAGGCAUCAACUGAUCAUUAUAGUAAAGCAAAAUGGUACUUCGAAUGCAUUGCAAACCAGCCAUCCGAUAACCACAGAGCAGUUCAAUGUGAUUAAAGCCACAACUGAUCGCAGAACGCUCUUCUUGAAGUCAAGACAGCUGACCCAUGCCACUUUGCCAAGAAGCAAUUUCCUGAUUACUUUCUGCCUGCCCAGGAUUCCUGUGGUUUCUACUGAUAGUGAAUUUGAAUGUGUUCCGGACAGAGAAUCCAAAAUCCAGAGUCACAGCUAGGCCCUGCUUCCUCUCUGAUUAAUGAGCAUAUCAGACUAGAGGACUGCAAGGUCCCUCACAGCUCC
rnacentral:lncRNA from 1 species